GCAAGCUUGGUGAUGAUCACAAGUGCAUAGUUCAGAUGACCAAACUGUGAUUACUUCAACAAAAUAGUCUUCUGCUCCUAGCUACAACCUUUG
rfam:Triticum urartu cultivar G1812 contig43578, whole genome shotgun sequence.